rnacentral:rRNA from 1 species
AUUGAACGCUGGCGGCAUGCCUUACACAUGCAAGUCGAACGGUAGAGGGGGCAACCCCUCGAGAGUGGCGAACGGGUGAGUAAAGCAUCGGAACGUGCCCAGUAGUGGGGGAUAGCCCGGCGAAAGCCGGAUUAAUACCGCAUGAGACCUACGGGUGAAAGGGGGGAUCGCAAGACCUCUCGCUAUUGGAGCGGCCGAUGUCAGAUUAGGUAGUUGGUGGGGUAAAGGCCUACCAAGCCGACGACCUGUAGCUGGUCUGAGAGGACGACCAGCCACACUGGGACUGAGACACGGCCCAGACUCCUACGGGAGGCAGCAGUGGGGAAUUUUGGACAAUGGGCGAAAGCCUGAUCCAGCCAUGCCGCGUGCGGGAAGAAGGCCUUCGGGUUGUAAACCGCUUUUGUCAGGGAAGAAAUCCUUUGAGCUAAUACCUCGGGGGGAUGACGGUACCUGAAGAAUAAGCACCGGCUAACUACGUGCCAGCCGCCGCCGUAACAC